rnacentral:lncRNA from 12 species
GAGAGGAACUUUAGAGGUUCUCAUGUAACGCCUCUGUCUUUAGCUCAACCCCCUCAGAGGCCAGGAAACACAGAGGGUAUAAAAGAUCUGAGAGCAGCUCCACUCAGGCUUCAGACCUGCAUCACCUGCGCCAAUCUCACACUGCAUUUCAGUGCUAUUGCAAUGCUGUCCCGGACGCUGGUUGUUCCGUUGAUCUUUGCAUUAGUGGGUGUCUCUAUUUCUGCACCAAUAAAUGAUGGAACAGAUAAUGAUGAGGCGGCUGCAGCCCUAGGGAUCCUCAAUGCUUCUCCAACUCCAGUCCCUGGAAAUGGAGACUCAGGUUGGUCUGGCUGAUAUAUGAUGAAUUCUAGCUGUAAAAUAUGUUAUAUAACCAGAAAGUCUAA